rnacentral:lncRNA from 1 species
GCAGACCACAGCUGAAAGAAAGCUCCUGUCCUCCCAACUCAGACCCUGCUUCUUGCUAGCAGCUGCCUCGCUGCCUCACCAGACAUCCAGAUGAUAGAAGACUGGGACCUGAGAAACACAGACCACGAGGGAAGGAAGAUGUACUGCUGCACACAAGCCAGGAACUGCCAACCUCCCACUACCUGGGGGUCGUGGCAUCAGCAGCUCCUAAGUGUUCAGCCCAGGGCAGACUAUGCUCCUGAACCAGAGGAAGAAUUCUAAACUACAGUCUCAACACAUGGAUGGCUGCUGCUGUGGAGAGAAGGAGAUCUAGGGUGAAGUUGGUUUCACCAUUGUGGCGUUCAGGUCAAACCCGUCUAUGUAAGCACUUUCCCUUCCCUCUCCAGAGCUCCCUGUGUAGGCCCCAG